GGCCGACUAGCUCAGUUGGUUAGAGCGUGGUGCUAAUACUAGGACAAACCCUAUAUUAGGGUUUCCUGGGAACGCCAAGGUCGUCGGUUCGAUCCCGGCGUUGGCCA
rnacentral:tRNA from 1 species